UAUAGUGCUGUAUAGUGCUGUAUAGUGCUGUAUAGUGUUGUACAGUGCUGUACAGUGUUGUAUAGUGCUGUA